ensembl:snRNA U6 U6 spliceosomal RNA
GUGCUCGCUUCAGCAGCACAUAUACUAAAAGUGGAACAAUACAGAGAAGAUUAGCAUGGCCCCUGCACAAGGAUGACAUGCAAAUUC